AACGAACGCUGGCGGCGCGCCUAAUACAUGCAAGUCGAGCGGGAAGACGUAGCAAUACGUUUGUAAAGCGGCGAACGGGUGAGGAAUACAUGGGUAACCUACCCUCGAGUGGGGAAUAACUAGCCGAAAGGUUAGCUAAUACCGCGUACGCUCCUUGGACUUCGGUUCAGGGAGGAAAGCGAUACCGUGGGUAUCGCGCC
rnacentral:rRNA from 1 species